CUCAGGGGCUGUCCCUCUGCUGAGCAAUGUUAAGGGUGAAAGAGGUGAAAGCAGUAAAAAAUUAUCAGCAGCCUCUUCUGGCUGCACGCUUUUCUGAGCGUCCUGAAACGUUCUGCAUGCUGUGUUGAGCAGUGCUGCCCAUUGCAGCUCUAUCACAAGUUCCAUCUACUCUUCUUUAUUACUAAUUUAUCAUCGUGCUGGCUGGUGUUUAUUUAUAGAAAGUAUGUGCAAGGCUAUGACAGCCAUCAGAUUAAUGAUUUGAUUUACGUCCCAUGCCACUGUAAAAAUUUCAGGCUGUUUUUAGGAAGGGCCUUUGAACAGCUCUUGCAGAAAUCAUUAUUUCUUGUCCAUGCUGUGGUGGCAGUUAUUUCUCGAGCAGAAAGUGCCUAAACACAUGGAAGAAGGAGAUAUUUCAGAAAGAUGUGGCCCUACCCAAGUGGUAAGUGUCAGAAGUGGGAUGAGGGAGCUGUGAGAUUUAGGUCAGCAGGGCUUGGGUGAGACCAUGCUCAGCCUGCAGCUCUGCAAGGAGCCUCCUCUGACCUCAGGAGUGGUGCUUGGGGGACAGCAGGUGGAUGGGAUCCCAGAGAGAGAUUUACCCUGCUUCAUGUUGAUUAUUUUAGAGUUGCUAUCUAAUCUAGACUGCUCUUUCUACAGUUAAGAGAGAUAGGGUAUCUCCACUGACCUAGCUGGACAGAUGAUUGGGAGGAAACAUCUCCAAUGGCUGCAGUGGUGAAGCUUGAUCAAAGUCCUACGUGUCUCUCUUGACCAGAGAGACUUUACAACUUGCUAACCUUAGGUUAGAUGAAUCCCAGCUCUUUUAUUCUUGGUUCUGCCAGCAACUUGGUAUAGGAUUAUAUGCCUUGACUAUCACCUGCAACAUGUGUUACACAACAGUAUGGGAGAGGAGAGUGUUUCAUUUUGUCAAGGAGGGACUUGGGAGUGGUGUCUACUAAGUACAGCCUACAGACACUGGCAAAGGAAAACAUCCUUUUUGAGGAAAUGCAUUUAAUUGGAGAACAUACUUAAACGCAAGCAUGUACUUUACUGAUAUCCUGUUUGGGUACAUUGUUAAACAGAUGCAAAGUGCUUUGCAAUUCAUCAACUUGGGAUGUUAGAUAAUAACAUCAAUGUGUUAUUCUUACAGCAUUAUGUGCAAGUAAAUGCUAACUCACCCUGCUGGAGCUAAGGCUCUCCUUCCUGAGUACAUCACCUUGAGGAAGAACCUAGUCCCAGUGCUCUGUCACUUCCACAGUGUUAUUCACUUUAUUUCUUGAUUUUCCAUCAGCACGUUAUGAUAGAAGAUCUAGUCUCACAUUGAAAAUGUGCUGUCUACAUUUUCCUACCCCAGUAUCAACAGCACAUGGCAUGCCCAACAUCAGUACAGUCCUGUGUAUGAGAAGCCCAUUCUGCAGCCUGUCUGGAAAUGUUACCAGAGCCACUGGAUUGAGACUAUGUUUGCAAAGCUCCUCCUGGCAGUCGGACACCUUUUCCUUGUGUUACAGCCCAAAAUUCAACUUUCUUCUCACACAGAAUGUGCUUUGUUGUAUUUAUUACUGCAAAUAGCUGAGACCAGGCACACUGUACUGAGGAGCUGUGGUCAAAGAGGAUCUUAUUCACCUGUUUUGGACCUUCUUCACAAAUAGUUUUUCAUCUUGGGUCUUUUCUUCUCUACACGUGAUUUGGAUUUAUAAAGCAAUUGGUAGAACUGAGCAGUCAGGAAAAAAAAAUGUAAAAAGGUGGAAAGGUGUUCGUUAUUUAUUUGAAUUUCAGUGGACUUAGAAAGCUCCACAGUUAAAAUUCAGGACCCCCUUGUGCUAGGCAGUGUGUAUAAAGUAAAAAACACUCCUGUUUUGGAAUGCUAGUAAUUUGCAUUGUGACUGUAAAACAACAGAGAAAAUAGGUAAUAAAUGUGUACUGGCAUAUGAGAUAACCACGAAAGAAACUGGGUUAAGCCAAAGUGAACUUUGAUUUACUUUUAUGGUCAUUAUAGUUAACUUUCUGUUGUGGUAAACGUGGUAUUGUGAUUUGUUAUUUGUACAGAUUGCCAAUUAGAAACCUCAAGACAAGAUUGUGGCUUAUCAUACAACAUAACAUUACGAAUACCAGCUAGCUUACACUGACUGUAAUUCAUGUUUACAAUCAGUAAUCCCACACGAGAUAUGCUUUAUGAUUCAUGAUUCAUUUGUACAACUUUUCCCCACAAACCUCCAUGUUCUUUUUUUGGCAAGGCACUCCCAGCUAACAGUACUGAAGGACUUGGUGCCCCAGCACACCUUACUCUUCAGUCUCUAGCUGCCAGGAUUAAGUCCAAACAGUGAUAGAAACUUCCAGUGAUCAACUUUGGGAUUUGUCUGUGACUCAGCAACAGACUCACAUCCCAGCCCAGAUGACACUCCUCCCUCAGAUGUGCCAGUUCAGUGGCUUUUGUGAUGCUGCUGGUCAGGUCUGGGUAGUGAUCUAGAUUAAAACAAACAUUUUUUAAGGAAGGAAGGAGAGGUUAUUUUUUUUUUUUUACCCAGAUAAUUUUGCAUUUAGUUUAGAGUGUCAUGAGAAAAAAAAAACUUCAGUUUGAGAGAGACAAAUAGCAGACUCAGAAACCAGAUCUUCUGCCAUGGGAACAGGAAUGUGGAAUUCCAAAAAUGAUGAUCCAGGCUCUGCAAGAACUAAAAGCAUUAACUUUCUCUAAAGAUGAAAGGUCUGAAAUCCUGUUCUUCUCUGAGCUACAAAGAACAACUUCCAUUCCUUCCCCAGGAGAUCAGAGUGGAAAGUGAGAGAUGGGUUUGAACAGUCUGAAGGUUAAGGGGCAACUGAGUCUCCCAGACUGAUGCAUACUAGACAAGCACUUGAGAUACCAUAACUAGCUGUAAAAAAUGGCCAAGGUUGGAUCUGUGGAGAGCAGUCAGCAUUUAUUAGGUACUGGAUACAAUAUAUAUCCAAUUUAUCCAAUAUUGAUGAAGCACUUUUUUAGUACUUUAACUCUUUCCCCUGUUGCUGAGGCUGUAUCGCUGUCCUCAAGCCAUUCCUUCUGCCUCCUCCAUCAUCAUCUCCACCCCAUUGCUUCUUGACCCACUGUCUCCAGAACUCCCUGUACUGCCUUUCUGCCUUUCGACUGCCUUCUGUGUCCAUCAAGCCAUUUCCUUCUUGCUUCUCUUCCAUGCUGCUUGCUCCAGAUACAUUGAACCCAAUCUGAUAGACACAUUAGCGAGCUGUCUAGUAAGUGGGACUUAAUUUUUAACUUCACUUGUGAGACAAGACUUGCAAGUAUGUGAAGAAGUCUACAGAGGAAGAAGUUACCCAGUGAGCUGUGCCAUCCAAGUGGAGCUGGGAUAUACUUUUGACAUUCAGUAACUCAGCUGCACUUCUAAUUUAGGCACCUAAAUCCUUUCUUGUAUCUAGUUCUUAAUCUUUUUCUUCAGCAGAUCUUACUCCUUGAGCAAAUACUUUGGUUUUCCCGUGGUUUGCUUGCUGAGAUACAAGUGGGACUGCCUUCUACUGGUUUUGCAAUAUGCACUUCAAAGUAGCCCAAUUUUAUCAGCUUCCUGAAGGAUUAAUGCUAUAGAAAAGUAUACCCAGCAGCUGGUCUCUGACUUCUGCUAUUUAAAAAUUGUGUUUUCUGACAUUUUAUUAUUGUUCUCCCAUACAUCCCGGUGCGUAUAGACAGCUGGUUAUUUUCCAGAGUCAGCAAGUUCAAAAUGGAUACAACUUGCAUUCCUAUGGAGCGUAGAAAAAUGUGCCACUGAAUUAAAUAUUAAUCAUAUUAUUUCCAAAGGAGAGGAAUGCGAGUAUAAUUAAAGAAACAUAUAAAAUGAUUUAUUCGGAAAAAGCGUAAAAUACAUACUUUAAAAAAUGUAUUUAUUUUCUUAGAUUUCUGGUUUGAUUCCUGUUCAGACUGAAAGUUAAUUCGCUAAUGGCCCUCCACUGGCCCAUAACGUGAGGCUGGCUGAUCUUAAUUCCAGUUCCCAAGGACAGAGUGUCCUGUCACACAGUGAGUUGCAUUUUGUGUUCAAGCUCUGUUUUCUGUUUCAGCAGAACAGAAUGCUUUGUGGACAAGGACAGCACGGAGGGAUUCCUUAUGUUUGAGGAGAGGGCUUGCUGUUGUUAUCCAGGAUGUUCUGUAGCAGUUCUGAAAAGGGAUUCUGUCUGGGCUUUUUGGUAGGCAGGGCUGUGUGCUCUGCCCGGAGUCAGCUUUAAGUUAGUGGAACAAAUCAUGGUAAUUUCAUUAGAAACCACAUCAAGCCUUGUUCAAGAAAAGAGUUUAGAUGUCUGUAGCAGAAUAUAUCUGGACUUUAGACAUCUAUAUUUCUUCUGCAAUCCCCACAGUUGCUACUUAUCAGUUGUCUAAACCCACAUCUGCCUUAUCUCUGUAGGUUCUUCUCUGUUUGAACUGAAAGUUCACCAGUUGCACACGCUCUCUGAGAUGAACAGAAAAUUUCAGUGCAAAUUUACCUUUGUUCAACACGACAACUUACAGCUUUUCUAUCCUGAGUGUAACUCAGGCUCAGAGAGUCCACAGCAUGCUUGGGAGAUUUGGUGAUAUUUACUUAUGAACUGGGCUUCAGUGCACUGCACCUUUACAGAAAUCAGGUUGGUGGAUAACCUUCAUGGUUCAGAAAGUGAAAGCACAGAUAAAAGCUUGUAAUCAUGAUGUUACAGAAAGAAGAUGAAAGGAGGAAAGAGGAAUGGAAUUUAUCACCUCUAGACCUUCAAGGACGAAUCAUGUAUUUUAUGUUACCAUCAAUGGAUAAAAGAAUUCCCUAUUGUGGCAAUCCUCUAAUACCGUGGGACAAGGCUAUUAGAGGAUAAUCCCAGCCUAAAUUGCAACACUGUGCUUGAGCACUGGUUCUCCUAAUGCUGUAGGAUACAAUUACAGAUCAAGGCCUGGAAACCACAGCCUUUGUUCUGCCUUAUUGCUUAAUUGUUUAAUGAAGUAUUCACUUCAUCUAAGUGAGUGCUUUGUAAUUUUGAAGUUGCAUGCAGCUGGCAGUGGCAAUGAGCAAAGAACUGGCUUUUUUACAGGAUAAUUUGUUCUCUUGGUAAUAGAAGGUACCAUUAAAGAUAUCUGACUCUGAUAGUAAAUAAUCUGAGAGAUCUCCCAAUAAAAGAGGAAUCUCGUCCUUAAAAGUGAGGAAAGAAAGCACAUUUGUUACUGUUUGUUUUUUUUUUCCUUCCAGUCUUCCUCUUGAUGCUGUGCAAAGACAGAUGGGAGAGGUGGUUUUACCAUUUGUGACUGAUCCUGCACUAACAGCUCAGUUGUUAAGGUCAUGACACUGCAUCGCAUGUACCUCUAAAAUGGGACGGGAGACAAUCUUGAUUAAAAAAAAAAGUGCAUAUCAAGAGGAGAGCAGCAUUCAAGUCCUUUCCAGUCACUAUAAAGAAACACAAAACAACAUUUCAAAAGUGUAUUUUACACUUUUUGGAGGUUUUAAGAGGAAAGCAGCAGCCUUGUUCUGCCCUUUAAAAUAUCCCUAUGCUCAGGAUAAGGUGUCCGACUCCAGCUCCCAAGGUCACCAGAGGCAUCAUUUCCCUGCUGGCUACUGGUAAGCACCUCUGCACACUCCAAGUAUAUCAGGUGGUUUAGAUCACUCUUUUGAAACAUUUCAUUCUCUUUAUGAACUGUAGGAGGAACUUAGUAAAUUUGCUGUGGGUUUGGGUUCCAUUUUUGGCCAAGCACCCAAACUCCAGACACCAGAUGUCAAGUGUAGGCAAUAGCCUACUGAGAGAAUGUGACCCUGGGAACAAGAGAAAGUCAUCCGAAUUCUGGAGGUUUUCUUGCAUGUCAGCAAUGAAGGAUCUCUUGCAAGUGCUAAAUACCAAAGUAGUAUUUCCAGUCUAGAAUAUAGAGUUUUUCCUGUAUAUUUUCUUUAUAUAGCUCUAAAAAUCUUUAAUGAAUAAGAUCAGUACAAAGAAUAGGUGAGGUCACCCGUACACUAAUCCCUUGCCAGCCCUGCCUCUUGGGAGGAAACGUCUCUGAACACUUUGCUGGUUCUCACAAAGAAGGAUGCUUCUUCAGUGAAACCACGUUUCUGGAGGAAAAUGGCAGAGAGGGGCAGAUUGCAGCUAGUUCACUCAUUGCUUUCUGUGCAUACUCUGCUGUGUGUGCCAUUCUUGUGAAGUCCAUGGAGUGCAGAUAACAGGAAGAAAACCACCACGCAGUGUCGCUUGGAGGAUCAACAAACAGUAUGAGAUGGAGCAUCUGCACAUAUGCUGUAGAUGCACAUGUAUGUAGUUUAUGCAUUGUUCUUGGCCCAAAAGAGGUGGCAAAGUUGUGACAUUCAAUGGCCGACCAGUUCCAUUUAAAAGGAAGUACAGAGCAAACCUGUUGUUUGUCUGGACACUUUGUAACUUGUUUUCACAAAUCUUCCCUUUUCAACAUCAUUUAACAAACUAUUACAGGCCUUUUAAUAAAUUACAGUCGUUAACCUUGCUGAGAGUAGCUGAAGGCAGGAUUUUAAUUCAUGCAGUAAAAAGUCUGUCCUCCAGGCACGAACGUUCAAGAUCACACGAGUGUCGGAGCUAAUAUCAGCUCAAGGACCAGCAGGACCAACGCUGGCUUACAGCCAUCUUCUGUACCUUUACAGAGCUGACUGGUUCCUGCCUGUGCCAGUGCACAGAUUCUUCUCAUACUGCUUUUUUUUUCUGGGCUCCAAGCUGUCUCUGUAAUCUGUUGUUGCAGCUGGAAUAGCUGGAGCAAGGGAAGGCCCUUGUUACCCUUGCUUUGCCUUUAAGGACAUACCUGCCAGCUCUUCUGUAGGGAGUUUCCUGCAGAAGGAGCUGCGCAGAGGCAGCACAUCUGACUAAUGGCUAUGAGAGACACCACCUGCAAGGGCUGUCACCAGGCAGCCUUGAAUCAGUCGUGAGAGUCUCAUUAGCUCCUGAUUCCUUAAUGGUAUCCAUCUACUUCUAUUACCAUCUAUUUUUGUAUCCCCUGUGCGACCGUCACCUUAAUAGGAACCCUCUGUCCGCAUGAAUGUGGUUAUUUUUCAUCCAUAUGGGAAUGUUUGCAUACACUUUUAACUCUAAAAGAUGAAAAUUUUAACAAAAAGAAAUCUGCUGCAAACAGAUGCUCAGUACCUUUUUCCCAAAAUAACCCCAACAUUUUGCCUCCCUUGAAGAAAAGAUCUUGAGAAACACUGCAAAAAUAUUUCUUCAAUACAUUUUUGGCUUGCCAGGUCUUGCCAGGUCUAGUUAUUCUAGCUGCUUAUCUCACUUAUGUAAUAUUUGAGUUUGUUGUUGUUGUUUCAUACUUUUAACUGCUUGCUUGUAGCGUUAUUUCUGGCCUUGGCUCAAUUUCUGCGGUUGCAGAUGGCUGCAGUCUGAGACAGUUUCUGUCUGAACCAGCUUACGAUGCCACACUGAGUCAGAGGAAAAUCAGAAAUGAGAGAGGGCACAGAUCACCUCUGCCUCAGCUGCGUAGGAGCACAACUGUACGGCAGGACCAAAGGUUGUCAAGUGGAACGGGCAUUGAGUCAUGACUGGCAGAGAUGACUUCGCUCUGAGUGGAGUCUUGGCAGCAAAAAAUCAACAAAGACUCUUGCAAAGUGUUCACCUGCCCUGAGGGAUGGAACGUCUUGGCAAGAUGUCUGCAUUACAAUUGGAAUAUUGUUCCUGCUGGGAGAAGACUUGAGAGAAUAUUUUUACUUCUCACCAGUUCCUGCUGUGCCUUGGCAUUUACAGUCCCUUUGGAGUAACACCAUCAGCAGUUUUCACCUCUGCCUUGCAGACUGGCUCAGCGGUGUGACAAGAGUAUUAGUUCAUCACCGAGCUAUAGGGGAAAGUGAGUCACCAAGACAGUGUCCCUUAGGUCAGCUGUUAAGAAGUGAGAAGGAGAACCUGGCUGAAAUCUGGCUGGGAGAACCAUCGCCUGCAUUGCUAUUGAUUAUGGAAAAUCUGAGGCAUGAUUGCCACACUCCGCACUCCCCGUCUCCCUGCCUUGCAGAUCCAGUCUUCUGGAAGGUCUUUGCGAGUCGCUUGUUCCCUCCAGAACCUCCUACCAAUCUGCAGAACCUCAUUUGGAUCUAAAAUAGAGCUCCCUAUAUGACAAUCAGGCCAUCUGAAGCUGUGCUCAGCUGAAUGGCCCAGGUCCCUAAACAUGCCUGCAUUUCUCACGUGUGUAUUUCUUAAAGCAUGACAAGGUCCCCUCUUGCAUCCAAAAGUCUUCCAAGAAUUCAGUAUCAAGUAGCUCAUCUUGAUUAUUGGAUCACAACUGGUCCUGCAAGGUGAUGGUGAGGGAGCAAAGACAGAGGCUGCAGUGAAAGUGGAACAGAAGAGAAUUUACACCUGUCCCUUGCAUGACUUAGGGCGUUCUUGAACCAAGGCCUCUAUCCCCUUGAGCAGUCAAACAGAAACACAGCAGUAGCAGAACCGGUAGCGCAGUAACAGGGAAUGGCAAGAUGUGAGCUGUUAUUGCCCUCUGCUGACCGUUUGCUAUACAGUGCCAUCACUUCAAGUAUUUUCUGCAAACAAAGCUGCCAAGAAAGAUUUCUGAGAUCUGCAGUUAAUUGAAGGAACCUCUCUCUCUCUGUUUUUUUUUUUUUUCUUUUUCUUUUCACAAUGUUAGAUAUUUCCUUAGCUGAACCGAGGUUGCAGUUCAAUCAAAUACCAGUUUGGGGUAAGCAGGCCAGGAAGUAGUGACCUAUGGUAACUAAGAGGUUGGGCUAGGCAGUCACAUUUGUCUUCUGCUCUAUCAGCUUCCCCAAGGUCACACUGCAGUUUUGAGAGUAAGCCAGGAAGCAAAUCCCUUUUUUCUUGGUUCUCGUCCAGCACUUCACAGAGCUUUUCCUCUUGUUUAUGUUUCAGAAUUAUCUAACAAAUGGCUUGUAAACAUGUAUUUAAAUAUUCUAGUGAUGAACAAGGCAGAAAGGUCUUUUUUUUUUUUAUACUUUAAAAAAA